GCGUAAAGAGCUCGUAGGUGGUUUGCCGCGUUGUUCGUGAAAUCUCACGGCUUAACUGUGAGCGUGCGGGCGAUACGGGCAGACUUGAGUACUGCAGGGGAGACUGGAAUUCCUGGUGUAGCGGUGGAAUGCGCAGAUAUCAGGAGGAACACCGGUGGCGAAGGCGGGUCUCUGGGCAGUAACUGACGCUGAGGAGCGAAAGCGUGGGGAGCGGACAGGAUUAGAUACCCUGGUAGUCCACGCCGUAAACGGUGGGUACUAGGUGUGGGUUUCCUUCCUUGGGAUCCGUGCCGUAGCUAACGCAUUAAGUACCCCGCCUGGGGAGUACGGCCGCAAGGCUAAAACUCAAAGAAAUUGACGGGGGCCCGCACAAGCGGCGGAGCAUGUGGAUUAAUUCGAUGCAACGCGAAGAACCUUACCUGGGUUUGACAUGCACAGGACGCCGGCAGAGAUGUCGGUUCCCUUGUGGCCUGUGUGCAGGUGGUGCAUGGCUGUCGUCAGCUCGUGUCGUGAGAUGUUGGGUUAAGUCCCGCAACGAGCGCAACCCUUGUCUCAUGUUGCCAGCGGGUAAUGCCGGGGACUCGUGAGAGACUGCCGGGGUCAACUCGGAGGAAGGUGGGGAUGACGUCAAGUCAUCAUGCCCCUUAUGUCCAGGGCUUCACACAUGCUACAAUGGCCGGUACAAAGGGCUGCGAUGCCGCGAGGUUAAGCGAAUCCUUUUAAAGCCGGUCUCAGUUCGGAUCGGGGUCUGCAACUCGACCCCGUGAAGUCGGAGUCGCUAGUAA
rnacentral:rRNA from 1 species